GAGGCGUCAAGGGAGGCCGGAGGGAGAGUGGGGUGGACAGAGGAGCGGAGGGACGAGAGGGAAGCGCACGAUAGCUGCGCGGAGAGAGAGCGAAGAGCAGGCGGAGGAACAAAGGCGACCCAAGACACCCAGAGAGGGACAGGAACCAUGGAGUCUGGCAGUACCGCCGCCAGUGAGGAGGCACGCAGCCUUCGAGAAUGUGAGCUCUACGUCCAGAAGCAUAACAUUCAAGCGCUGCUCAAAGAUUCUAUUGUGCAGUUGUGCACUGCUCGACCUGAGAGACCCAUGGCAUUCCUCAGGGAAUACUUUGAGAGGUUGGAGAAGAGGAGGCAAAACAGAUUCAGAAUCUGCAGAAAGCAGGCACUCGUACAGACUCAAGGGAGGAUGAGAUUUCUCCUCCUCCACCCAA
rnacentral:lncRNA from 1 species